GUAAUGUCCCAACUGGUCUCUCAAUAGGUAAUAUCCCGACUGGUUUCUCAAUAGGUAAUGUCCCAACUGGUUUCUCAGCAAGUAAUAUCCUGUGUGGCUCAGUUGGUAGAGCAUGGUGUUUGCAACGCCAGGGUUGUGGGUUCGAUUCCCACGGGGGACCAGUACAGAGAAAAAAUGAAUGAAAUGUAUGCAUUCACUACUGUAAGUUGCUCUGGAUAAGAGUGUCUGCUAAAUGACUAAAAUAUAAAUGUAUGGUUUCUCAAUAGGCAAUGUCCCGACUGGUUUCUCAAUAGGUAAUGUCCUGACUGGUUUCUCAAUAGGUAAUAUCCCGACUGGUUUCUCAAUAGGUAAUGUCCCAACUGGUUUCUCAAUAGGUAAUGUCCCGACUGGUUUCUCAAUAGGUAAUAUCCCGACUGGUUUAUCAAUAGGUAAUGUCCCGACGAGUUUCUCAACAGGCAAUGUCCCGACUGGUUUCUCGAUGGGCAAUGUCCCAACUAGCUUCUCAAUAGGUAAUGUCCCGACUGGUUUCUCAAUAGGUAAUAUCCUGACUGCUUUAUUAAUAGGUAAUGUCCUGACUGGUUUCUCAAUAGGUAAUAUCCCGACUGGUUUCUCAAUAGGUAAUAUCCCGACUGGUUUCUCAAUAGGUAAUAUCCUGACUGCUUUAUUAAUAGGUAAUGUCCCAACUGGUUUCUCAAUAGGUAAUGUCCUGACUGGUUUCUCAAUAGGUAAUAUCCCAACUAGUUUCUCAUGGGUGAGUACACCAGUGGGGGUGCAUUCAACACUCUGCAACUCUGUUA
rnacentral:lncRNA from 1 species